rnacentral:rRNA from 1 species
GAUGAACGCUGACAGAAUGCUUAACACAUGCAAGUCUUUGGCGAAGCUGUGCUUGCACAGCCUAGCCAAUGCGGACGGGUGGGUAACGCGUAAGGAACUUGCCCUGCAGUCAGGGAUAACAGACGGAAACGACUGAUAAGACCUGGUAAAGUCAGGCGGACUCACGUAUAGCCUGAUGAAAAGAGAUGGUGCAGGAGAGCCUUGCGUCCUGUUAGCCUGUUGGUGGGGUACAGGCCCACCAAGGCUAUGAUAGGUAGCCGGCCGGAGAGGGUGGACGGCCAAAAGGGGACUGGGAGACGGCCGUAACGCCUACGGGAGGCAGCAGUGAGGAAUAUUGGAGAAAGGGGGCGACCGUGAUCAAGCACUUCUGUGUGCACGAUGAAGGUUUUCGGAUUGAAAAGAGCUUUCAGCAGGGAAGAAAAAAAUGACGGUACCUGAAGAAGAAGCGACGGCUAAAUACGUG